CUGGCGGCGUGCCUAACACAUGCAAGUCGAGCGAUGAACCUUCGGGUGGAUAGCGGCGGACGGGUGAGUAACACGUGGGUAACCUGCCUCAAAGAGGGGGAUAGCCUCCCGAAAGGGAGAUUAAUACCGCAUAACAUUAUUUCUUCGCAUGAAGAGAUAAUCAAAGGAGUAAUCCGCUUUGAGAUGGACCCGCGGCGCAUUAGCUAGUUGGUGAGGUAAUGGCUCACCAAGGCGACGAUGCGUAGCCGACCUGAGAGGGUGAUCGGCCACAUUGGAACUGAGAUACGGUCCAGACUCCUACGGGAGGCAGCAGUGGGGAAUAUUGCGCAAUGGGGGAAACCCUGAACCGCAGCAACGCCGCGUGGGUGAAGAAGGCCUUCGGGUUGUAAAGCUCUGUCUUCUGGGACGAUAAUGACGGUACCAGAGGAGGAAGCCACGGCUAACUACGUGCCAGCCGCCGC
rnacentral:rRNA from 1 species